CAUCACGUUUUUCUCUUCUUUUUCCCUGAGUCACAACAAAAACCCUAAUUUUUUUCUUCACUCACCAAACCCUCACUCGUUUGUAAAUCGGAAUCCCUAAACCCAUCAAUCAGAAUCCUCUUUCUCUUCGUUCAUCAAUCUGAGAAUAUCCAAAUCCUAAUUCGUAAAUCCAUGAAUGGAAUCCUUCACUCGUAAUCACUUGUAACCCUCGUUCCCUCUUUCCCCUCAAAUGUCACAGAUGAUUCUGAGAAUCACUUUUGAAACGACGAUUCUCAAACAUGAGCACUCGUAAUCACUUUUGAAACCCUCAUUUCGUUCUCCCACUCAAACCUUCACAUAUUAUCCAGAUCUCAACGACUCAAACGAUGAUUCUCGAUUUUCAACCUUCUAUGAAUUCGUAACCGGCAAUCUUAAAUGAUGACUAUCUAUUUUUCCUCCUCUUGUGCCAAGGAGAGAUGAAGAUAGGAAGAUCAUUAUACGACUUUAUAGUAAAGGGUUCAUUCCUCCCAUUGAAGUUGCAAAGGCCAUUAAUUAUGCAAUACGAAAUCAGUGACGAGUUCUUGAAAUUCUCCGAUCAAAAUAAGACUGCCGAGCUUUGUCAAGAGGCAGAGCGGUCUACACCUCAGCCCGCAAGGACCAUAUUGAAGUGGCACAUGAACUUAAUGUAGUGGACGAGAUAAAGAAAAAUCUUAAAGUGCUAAGAUUACAAAAGUUGAAGUCAAUAAAGCCAAUCCGACACUUCAAGAAUUGCCAAAGGAUUAAGUAUCAUAAAAGAAUUUUACAACCCAAACUGGAGUUUGAAUUUGAACCGACGCUGAAGCAGAUUCUAACUACAAGUAACAAACCCCAAUUCCUCUUACUUUUACUUCUCUUGCAGUUACUUACAGUUGUGUUUUGUUGUGUGUCUCUAGUGUUAUUAAUAUUUCAAUAUGAGCUUGUGGAGCUAAGUUAAGUUUCUGCUUUAUUUUAGUUAAUAUUGUCUAUUAGAAUGUAUGUUAGUUUGUUAUAGUUACUGCCCCACUAGCGUUUAUAAGUCUCAGAGAUAUGACUCCAAAUGUAGAAUGAUAGUAUUAAUAAGUCGUUUGUUAAUAGCGUUUAUUUAUGUGAUAGAUGUUUAGACUUUAGGACUUAUUCUAACAUGGACUGAAAAUAAAAAGGGGAUUAUAUGGGAUAAUCUUGGAUGAGCAGAUUGAAGGGGAUUAUUUAUGUGAUUUGAAAAUCUCUUAAACUUUCUAUCACGUUGUGUUGAUAACUUGCUAUGGUUGAUUAUUAUCUUACACUUUCUUUGUUGA